rnacentral:rRNA from 1 species
AUGAACGCUAGCGGCAGGCCUAAUACCUGCAAGUCGGACGGGAUUCAGGAGCUUGCUUCUGAUGAGAGUGGCGCACGGGUGCGUAACACGUAUGUAACCUACCUUUAUCAGGGGGAUAGCCUCUCGAAAGAGAGAUUAAGCCCGCAUAAAAUCACAGCACAGCAUUGUGUAAUGAUCAAAUAUUUAUAGGAUAAAGAUGGGCAUGCGGAACAUUAGCUAGAUGGCGGGGUAACGGCCCACCAUGGCGACGAUGUUUAGGGGAUCUGAGAGGAUGGCCCCCCAGACUGGUACUGAGACACGGACCAGACUCCUACGGGAGGCAGCAGUAAGGAAUAUUGGUCAAUGGGCGGAGGCCUGAACCAGCCAUGCCGCGUGCAGGAAGACGGCCCUACGGGUUGUAAACUGCUUUUAUACGGGAAUAAACCCAGAUACGUGUAUCUGGCUGAAUGUACUGUAAGAAUAAGGAUCGGCUAACUCCGUG